UACGAGGGGGGCGAGCGUUGUUCGGAAUUACUGGGCGUAAAGGGUGCGCAGGCGGUUAUAUAAGACAGAUGUGAAAUCCCCGGGCUCAACCUGGGAACUGCGUUUGUGACUGUAUGACUAGAGUACGGUAGAGAGGGGUGGAAUUCCUGGUGUAGCAGUGAAAUGCGUAGAUAUCAGGAGGAACAUCGAUGGCGAAGGCAGCCCCUUGGACCUGUACUGACGCUCAUGCACGAAAGCGUGGGGAGCAAACAGG
rnacentral:rRNA from 1 species